rnacentral:tmRNA from 1 species
GGGGGUGAAAUAGGAUCGACAGGCGUCGUUGGAUCGUUGGGAGCAGGCCCUGGUUGGUCAGAGCCAGGAUAAAAUCCGACUAAAACACAAAAGCCAACACCACUGUGUUGGACUGGGCCACUGCCUAAACCGCAGUAAGCCUGCGCCGUCCGGCCGACGCCCGCUGGGCCGGAUCCGGCGUCAAGAUGCGGGCUGGGAACUUCGUUGCUGGCUUCGUCGACGAGGUUUCGAGAUCGCACGGAGCUAGCCUGAAGGUACUGGUCCGGCGGGAUUCUUCAGGCGAAAUCAAAGCCGGACUAAGCCUGUAGGACCCGCGAUAAGGCGGCGUUUGGACGCCGGGGCGGUACCGGCCACCUCCAAAA